rnacentral:tRNA from 1 species
CAUCAGGAAGCUGAAAGGGUUCAGCGUUAGCCUUUUAAGCUAAAAUUUGGUGACUCCCAACCACCCCUCGUGA